rnacentral:tRNA from 5 species
GCGGAUAUCGUAUAAUGGCUAUUACCCGAGCUUCCCAAGCUCGUGAUGCGGGUUCGAUUCCCGCUAUCCGCUCCA